CCUCAUGGUUUCACAUGUUUCCUCUCUGCUCCUCCAAACCUUGUCACCUCUUAAUUCCCAGGACAGCCAGGAGAAGGCGGGGACAGUUUGGGGCACUGAUGCGCUCUGGCAAUCCUCGGGGCCUUCGGAACAUACUAUCUAAUGGAGACAAGACUGUUACAGAAACAUUACUAAAGACUAUGUUCUAUGCUCCAUCCCAUCACACCCACCUAAAAGCCUGGGAGGGAAGCCCUUUUCCCCUUUUGUGAUGCUGCCCUCUGCUGGAUAUUAGGAAAUUCACAGGCAAAAACAUCUGAUUUGUUUCUGCAGUUUUAUUUGGGUUUGAUUUACGUAGUGAUUCAGAUCCAAGAUUGUUUGGGAGGGGAAGAAAAGGAUUUUCUGUAAACCUACAUGUUUAAUUAGAAAGAAAUUAAAUAUCUUGUUUUCUCAAUUAUGAGAAAGCAGAGGUGACUGUGAAAUGCAUGUGUUUCCCAUGGAUAUGAAGUGACACGACCCUUUUGGGAAGUGAAUUUGUAAGACAUAAGAAUAAUUUUAAAAGGGCAUGGCCUUGGCCCUG